GAUGCAGCUGAAGCCCGUCGGGUCUUCCACGCAGGUGGCUCCGUUCAUACACGGGGACGACAAACACGCGUGUUCGACUGUCGUUAGAAGAAAGACAUAGAGGACGUGGAGGGGACGAGAAAAGAGAUUUAAAAUUUAAAAGACCUUGGAGCCGCUGGGGUCACAGUUGAAGUGGCCGAAGAAGUCGUCACGGGCCCGGCAGAAUUUGUUGCAGAAAGGUCCGUAGUAGUUGGCGUCACAGCGGAAGCGAAGGCGGUACUCGAGGCCGAGGGAUCGUCCGUGGUGACGAUACGUCUGCCACUGCUCACCGGGAUUCAACAUGGAGGAGAGGAGGACUCGCUCAAUUAGCUGACCUGAGGGAAAAUAGUUUAUAUAAAUGUGAAAAUGUAACACUAGAUCUACUGGUGUUUAUACACUGCUGUCGUAAAGUACAGUUUUAUUUAUGAGGCAUGUUUCAUAUUCACAUUUGGUCGAUAGAAGGCUCAGCAACCCCCAUGACCCUCAUGUGGAGGAUAAAGCGGACACACAAAGUAUUUUUGUGGCAGCAACUCGUAAUAACUCACUCAUUUUGGUCAUUUUUAGCAAAUAAUGAGGCUCUAUUCCACUGUGUUAUUUUUAGUUUCUAAUUACUCUGGGCCGUUACUGAGCUGAAGGUUUUUACAGCUUCUCCACUGAAAACAAUGGCCUUUGGCUACAAACACCACUAGUAAGAGAGGCCAUAAAAAAUAAAAACUAUUAAGUGGGAGAUGUUAAAACCCAGUCAAGAAUUGAAAAGAUUGUAACUGCAAAUGAUUCCCUGUGGUAUGUGUCACUAUUCUUUGCAUGUGAAUCUACAUUAAAAUAUCGAUCAAUAAAGCUUUUAAAUUCUC